rnacentral:rRNA from 1 species
UACGUAGGGACCAAGCGUUGUUCGGAUUUACUGGGCGUAAAGGGCGCGUAGGCGGCGUGACAAGUCACUUGUGAAAUCUCCGGGCUUAACUCGGAACGGUCAAGUGAUACUGUUGUGCUAGAGUACAGAAGGGGCAAUCGGAAUUCUUGGUGUAGCGGUGAAAUGCGUAGAUAUCAAGAGGAACACCUGAGGUGAAGACGGGUUGCUGGGCUGACACUGACGCUGAGGCGCGAAAGCCAGGGGAGCAAACGGG